rnacentral:rRNA from 1 species
AUUGAACGCUGGCGGAAUGCUUUACACAUGCAAGUCGAACGGCAGCACGGGGCAACCUGGUGGCGAGUGGCGAACGGGUGAGUAAUACAUCGGAACGUGCCCAAUCGUGGGGGAUAACGUAGCGAAAGUUACGCUAAUACCGCAUACGAUCUACGGAUGAAAGCGGGGGAUCGCAAGACCUCGCGCGAAUGGAGCGGCCGAUGUCAGAUUAGGUAGUUGGUGGGGUAAAGGCUCACCAAGCCAACGAUCUGUAGCUGGUCUGAGAGGACGACCAGCCACACUGGAACUGAGACACGGUCCAGACUCCUACGGGAGGCAGCAGUGGGGAAUUUUGGACAAUGGGCGCAAGCCUGAUCCAGCCAUUCCGCGUGAGUGAAGAAGGCCU